GGUCACAUCAUGUUGAAACACCGAUUCCCGUAGGAUCACCGACGUUAAGCAACGUCAAGCUUGGUCAGUACCUAGAUGGGUGAGCGCUUGAAAAUACCAGGUGCUGUAAG